UGAGAACUUCUGUAGGCUCAGGACAAGCCCUGAGGGAUACAUGGAACUGUCACUGGAUGGCCAUUAUGAGAACCAUUAAUGUUUUAUGAUAAUCUGUUUGUUUUCAUAUACAUGCUUCUGUAAGUGUAUAUAAAACAAAUCUUUAGAAAUUGAAAUAUUGUAAAAAUGAACAGGAAAUACUAAAUAUAAUCCUUUGGUAGAUUACUAAAGCUUUUCUCAAAAGUCUCACUUGAUAUUACAAAUUCCAUUUUCAUUGACACUUACAUCUACAAAAAAUUAGGAUAUAUUAGAGAUUCUGCGCUUAACAAUACUUCCUUU